AUGGGGAGCAGACAAAUUGUCGCUGUUCUUCAACUAGGUGGAGUAUUCACAACUGAUGAUGAUGGGCAUAUGACCUAUUCUGGCGGAGAGGCACAUGCGAUGCUUGUGAAAAGUGGUUGGACUUUUAAAGCGUUUAAACAUGAGAUAUCUUCAACACUCAAUAACCUCAAGCUUGAUUCCUAUGCAUUCAAAUACUUCCUUCCGAAAAAUAAUAAGACUUUGAUUUCAAUUUCCAAUGACAAAGACCUUAAGCGCAUGGUUGAAUUCCAUGCGGACUCGGAGACAACAGACAUCUACGUCAUUAAGAAGGUUGACAACAGGGUAAAGAGCUCUGUAGCAGACUCCAGUGCUCCUGCAGAUUCUGCUAUAGUAGGGACUACUCCAGAUGGAUCUAAGCGGCAAAAGAUAUGUGCAAGUUGGGAGAACACAAUCACUGGAGUUGGCCAAGUAUUUGAGGGUCCAAAGGAAUUUCGUGAUGCGUUGCACAAGUAUGCCAUUGCACAUAGGUUUCAUUACAGAUUUGUCAAGAAUGACUCUUCUCGUGUUACUGUGGAAUGUACCGAUGAAGGAUGUCCCUGGCGCAUACAUGCUUCCAAAUCUUCUGCAAAUCAGGAGUUCAUGAUCAAGAAAGUGGUUGGGAGCCAUACAUGUGAAUCAGAGACUGUCAAAAGUAAUCGUCUAGCUUCUCAAAAAUGGGUUGCUAGUGUUAUCAAGGAAAAAUUACGUGACAGUCCAAACUACAGGCCAAGAGAUAUUGCAAAUGAUCUCCAGCGUGAAUAUGGACUAAGCCUGAACUAUUCUCAAGCUUGGCGAGGCAAAUUAAUAGCUCGAAAAGAACUUUACAGUCCACAUGAAGAGGCAUGUAAUCAGUUACCUUGGUUUCGUGAUAGAAUUUUCGCAACAAACCCUGGGAGUAUGGCAACAGUAGAGGCAUUGGAAGGUUCAAAGUUCCGCUUCUUUGUUGCAUUCCAUGCCUCCCUUCAUGGUUUUGAGAAUGGUUGCAGGCCUCUUCUCUUUCUUGACGUGAUAACUGUGAAACCAAAUAAGCAUUGGAAACUAUUAGGUGCUACUUCUGUUGAUGGUGAAGGUGAUGUGUUCCCCGUUGCAUUAUCUGUAGUGGAUGACGAGAGUCAAGAAAAUUGGCAUUGGUUUCUUGAACAGCUACAGGCAUCGUUGCCUAUGCCUGGAGACAUAACAUUCAUAUCAAAUGGCAGAAGUGGUCUGUGGGAUGAUGUUUCUCUAAUAUUUCCAGAUAGUUAUCAUGGAUACAAUGUCAACUUUUUCAUUGAAGAAUUUAAAACAAAAUUGGAUGACAGCUGGAGUGAAGAAGUAAAAGAUAUAAUGGUCGAGCAUCUUAAGGAUGCCAUAUAUUCGUGCAGAGUUGAUGAAUUCAAUCAUUAUCUCGAUCUCAUCAAAGCUGAGUCUGAUAAGCUUGCUGAAUGGCUUUUGGAGACUAAACCUGAGCGGUGGUCAGAUGCGUUAUUCAAAGGGUCACGUCUUGGCCAAUACACAUGCAAUAUUUCCGAGACAAUUGCGGAGUGGAUCCCCAACAGAUAUGAGCUCCCGGUAGUGCAGCUGCUUGAUACAAUCAGAUGCAACCUGAUGGAGAUGAUCUAUACACGCAGGGAAUCUUCCAAUACAUGGUCAGAAGUAUUAACACCAUCAGCGAAUCAGAAACUUCAGGAAGAGAUGAACAAAGCUCUUUCACUCAGUGUUGUUUGCUCAACUGAAAAUGAUGGUAACAAUAAUGUGUUUGAAGUAUGUGAUGGUUCGGUCUAUACGGUCAACAUUGAUACAUGGGAGUGCACCUGCAGAAAGUGGCAUGUGUCUGGGAUUCCUUGCUGUCAUGCCAUCGCUGUGUUUGAGCAAACUGAUCAGAAUCCAGUGGAGUACUGUUCCAAGUAUUUCAGAAGAGAUUACUACCGCAUGACUUACGCCAUGUCAAUCAACCCGAUACCUGAUGUCAUUGUACCUCCUGCAUCAACUGACGUAACGCAGAGCAUGGGAUUGCAACCAUGCCCCAUACUAGCUCGCCGCCAAGUGGGCCGACCAAAGGAAAAGCCAGCUGAUCCUCGUAUUGCAAUUAAAAGGGCGGUGCGCUGCAGCAGGUGCAAGGGCUAUGGGCACAACAAAGCAACUUGCAAAGUCCCUCUCACAACAUAA
rnacentral:rRNA from 1 species